rnacentral:rRNA from 1 species
UACGGAGGGGGCUAACGUUGUUCGGAAUUACUGGGCAUAAAGCGCACGUAGGUGGUCCGCUAAGUCGAUUGUGAAAUUCCCCGGCUCAACCGGGGAACGGCACUCGAUACUGGCGGGCUUGAGGUCCGGAGGGGUGAGUGGAACUCCUGGUGGAGCGGUGAAAUGCGUAGAUAUCAGGAGGAACACCGGUGGCGAAAGCGGCUCACUGGCCGGAAUCUGACACUGAGGUGCGAAAGCUAGGGUAGCAAACGGG